GCCAGAUGUGGUGGUACAUACCUGUAGUCCCAGCUAUUCAGGAGGCUGAGGCAGGAAGAUUGCUUUGGGUCCAGGAAUUUGAGGUCCUCCUGGGCAACAUAGCAAGACCCUGUCUCAA
rnacentral:sRNA from 1 species